rnacentral:RNase_P_RNA from 1 species
GUGAUGAGUCGCCCCACCGCGGCGCUGAAAGGCGACGAGGAAAGUCCGGGCAACACAGAGCACCCUGCUUCCUAACGGGAAGGACUGGUGCGCGUAAAGCAAUCCAGGACAGCCAGUGCCACAGAAAAUUACCGCCAGACGGUGACUGAGUGCUUGAGCGAAUGCGUGAUUUAUCAUAUGAUACUUCACUCAUUCACAAUUUCACCAUCUCACUUUUGGUAAGGGUGAAAAGGUGCGGUAAGAGCGCACCAGCGGCUGGGCGACCAUGCCGGCUGGGUAAACCUCAGGGGUUGAAAGACCAAAUAAGCUGGCACGCAGGCUCUUCGGGGUCGGCACCGGGCGGCUCGUCCGGCGUCAGCGGGUAGGUUGAUAGAGCCUUUCCGUGAGGACUGGCCUAGAUAAAUGGUGGGGCCAUUGCUGCUCGCAGGAAUGGACAAAACCCGGCUUACAGACUCAUCACCCAG